CAGCCCUGGCCAAAAACAGCAAAAAAAAAAAAAAAAAAAAAGGGCAAUAGUAAAGCCAUGUUACGAGCCUUAAAGACACUGAAGUCGUUAAGGGUCUCUGAAAAAUGGCUAUAACA
rnacentral:snoRNA from 1 species